rnacentral:rRNA from 1 species
AUUGAACGCUGGCGGCAUGCUUUACACAUGCAAGUCGAACGGCAGCGCGGGCUUCGGCCUGGCGGCGAGUGGCGAACGGGUGAGUAAUGCAUCGGAACGUGCCCAGUAGUGGGGGAUAGCCCGGCGAAAGCCGGAUUAAUACCGCAUACGACCUGAGGGUGAAAGCGGGGGACCGAAAGGCCUCGCGCUAUUGGAGCGGCCGAUGUCGGAUUAGCUAGUUGGUGGGGUAAAGGCUUACCAAGGCGACGAUCCGUAGCUGGUCUGAGAGGACGACCAGCCACACUGGGACUGAGACACGGCCCAGACUCCUACGGGAGGCAGCAGUGGGGAAUUUUGGACAAUGGGGGCAACCCUGAUCCAGCCAUGCCGCGUGCGGGAAGAAGGCCUUCGGGUUGUAAACCGCUUUUGUUCGGGAAGAAAUCCUCUGGGCUAAUACCCCGGGGGGAUGACGGUACCGGAAGAAUGGGCACCGGCUAACUACGUG